AGCAGCCGCGGUAAUUCCAGCUCCAAUAGCGUAUAUUAAAGUUGUUGCAGUUAAAAAGCUCGUAGUUGAAUUUCGGGGUCAGUAGGUUGGUCGUGCCACUGGUAUGCACUGGCCUUGCUGAUUCCUCCCUCUUGAUGAGCCGUAAUGCCAUUAAUUUGGUGUUGCGGGGAAUCAGGACUGUUACUUUGAAAAAAUUAGAGUGUUUAAAGCAGGCAAGCGCUUGAAUACAUUAGCAUGGAAUAAUGAAAUAGGACGUUCGAUCCUAUUUUGUUGGUUUCUAGGAUUGACGUAAUGAUUAAUAGGGAUAGUUGGGGGCAUUAGUAUUCAAUUGUCAGAGGUGAAAUUCUUGGAUUUAUUGAAGACUAACUACUGCGAAAGCAUUUGCCAAGGAUGUUUUCAUUAAUCAAGAACGAAAGUUAGGGGAUCGAAGACGAUCAGAUACCGUCGUAGUCUUAACCAUAAACUAUGCCGACUAGGGAUCGGAUGAUGUUAAUUUUUUAUGACUCAUUC
rnacentral:rRNA from 1 species